rnacentral:rRNA from 1 species
UACGUAGGGGGCGAGCGUUGUCCGGAAUUAUUGGGCGUAAAGAGCGUGUAGGCGGUUCGGUAAGUCUGCCGUGAAAACCUGAGGCUCAACCCCGGGAGGCGGGCGGAUACUGUCGGGCUAGAGUCCGGAAGAGGCGAGUGGAAUUCCUGGUGUAGCGGUGAAAUGCGCAGAUAUCAGGAGGAACACCAAUGGCGAAGGCAGCUCGCUGGGACGGUACUGACGCUGAGACGCGAAAGCGUGGGGAGCGAACAGG